AUGAAUGCUGCUAUGGGAUCUGCUCGUGGUGAUCAACUGGAGGCAGGAUUUGCGAAGCUUCAAGGCGAAGACUUCAAGUACAUCAUGCAAUCUUAUGAAAUCAUCGUGGGACGCAAUUCCAAGAAAGGAAAGGUAGACUUAGAUCUCAACUCCGUUGGCGGAGAUAGGGAUGUUUCCCGCCGCCAUGCACGCAUCUUCUAUGAUUUUCAACACCGCUCGUUUGCCCUUGAGGUUCUGGGCCAACAUGGAUGCUAUGUUCAGAGGGUCCUUCACCGCCCAGGUGAUGAUCCCGUUAAACUGAAGUCCCAGGAUCUCAUUCAGAUCGGACAAACACAAAGACUGUUUACGGUGCCAAUCAAGAUGUCUUCUGCUGAACUGAAGAUCGGGCCUAUCAACGUUGAACGUGGUACGUUAUCAUUGUUACGUACUUAUGCUAUAUCCAUUUCUCUCCUGUAUUGUUUCCUUUCCAAAAAAUUAGAAACUAGAAUGGCAGACAAGGAUGUAGACAAUAUGCUGGAGUAUCAUCUUGCCUCAUGUGUUGCAAUAAUGGUAUCAAUCCAUUGUGAUGCUAGUGGUAGACAAUGGAUGCCUGUGGAACAACUCCAUGCAGAGCUUACUGGAAAGUUCACUGCGAUAUGGCCCUAUGGCAAUGCCCAACAGUACCUGGCACCAGAGGAUGGAUCAUCAACCAGAACAGCAGAGAGGCCAUGGCACAGGCUGUUGGAGCUGCUCAAGAAUCACCCGGAGAGGUUUAUCAUGAGUUCAAUCUCCAGAGGCACAAUAACAUUAGAGUUCGUUUCGCUGGUCAGCUUGGCUGAUAAGUUUUGCUGCCCUGAGGUUGAUCAGGUCACUGCCAGGUUCGUGUCCAAAAAAUAA
rnacentral:rRNA from 1 species